GGGCUGCUGAGUAGGACGGUGGAACAUCUGAUGGAAGAGGAACAGGAGGAGGAGCAGUUCUCAUCGCUGGUAACAAGAAAUCUUCGUCUAUUAUCAGUACUUUGUAUGUACUGACUGUGGCGUGCUCUUUGGGAACAGUUUUUGCGUUCAGGAUAAGUACAGGUGCAUGGUACCUUAUUUAGUUUUUUUCUUUCUUUCUUUGCUGCUACCACUGCAGUAUGAUUUUCUGUUUGAAGAUAGCAGAUUGCUUUCAUCUCUUCAUUGAGUACUCUGUCUUUUCGAACAGUCCAAGCAUUUCUCUCUGCCCCACCCAUUCUUUUUGAGAUAUGUCUAUUAACUCGUUAAGCGACAUUGUCCUAGUACCGAAUGAUUUCUGCACUGCAUCCGAGUGUUUUUUUUUUGCCUCUCGAUAUCUUGCUUGGUCUUUUGCUUCAGAGAAAAGGGACACGCACCAGCAUUUCUUGACCCUUUCAUCUUGCCGAACUUGCUUCCUAAAUCGCCUGUGGUUCUUACAUCGUCAUGCUAUAGAAUAAGAUCCUGAUUAGUGAGUUACGAUGAUAAUAUUUGUAAAUCCAUCAUUUAUGGUUCCAGCAUCAAAUUUUGAUGCUGGGAGGGACAGUUCGCGCUGUUGAGUUUUGAGCAAUCAUCUACCUUGGUGGCUUGGCCCCAGGAAUACAACCAGCUAACUUUUCCGUUUUCUGAUUACUGGAUCUUAGUCCCUAAGCCGCUUCAGCGGUUCCCCUUUGUGAUUGGAAGGCCAGCUGUUCUCUUUCUUGUUCUGCGGAUCUGAUUCUAUGGUCUCUAAAUUCUCGCAUUUUUGUUCUGUAGGCGUGUGUGUGCAAGUAAGCAAUUACCUAACUUUGUUUAGGCUCUAUUCGUUUAGUCCGGAUUGGAGGCCGGAACCAUUCCAACUCAUCAAGCUAAUAUAAAUUUGUGAACUAUUUCAAUCCAGAACCAAUCCAGUAAAGUAUUCCGGAAGAACCGAACGGACACUUAGGCGUUGUACAUUUGUACUCGCAAAUAUGAGAAAAGAAAAGGAGAAAUUGGAGUUCUUAUUUGUGCCCAAUCACCAGUAACUUUAUUAACUUGAAUUUGCAUUCAUCAUCUAUGCAAUUGUGGAAUCCAUUUCACCUUCUUAUGCUAGAACUAGUCUAUGCUUCAAGUAAAUCCUUGAAGAGUUCUUUAUAUCCUUCAGCAAGAAAAUUGCAUACUUCCAGGCUCCAGCAAGUAAACCGAGUACUUGAUGGGCCCGUUUGAUUGUCUAGUAAUUAACCUUAUCCUGGGCUGGCCCAUACAUACAGUGCGUGGCAUUAGCAUCUGAUCCUUGGGUUCGUCGCUAGGUCUUCAGUUUGCAGCACCAACUCCAAUCGAUCUUCACUCUUCACCCAGAACACUCUUUAUUCUGACCUCUGGAUGUGAUCCAGCUGGUGCAUGGUUGUUAGUAGUACUAGUACCGGCAAUUCUGUUCCACGACUGGAUUUCCGCUUUUGCCCUUGCGUUUGCCUACUUCACCAGGCUUACUUAGCCUUUUCACUUUGGACAAUCUUUAUGUAAGGCUGCAAGGGUUAAGUUGUUCCUUGUUGAGCCUUGCAAGGAAUUGACCGUGUCCAGCUCUCCAUCUACUCCACCCUUUAAAAGUAAAGAUGGUUCAGUUGGCAGACCUGGCAAGUUAGAAGGUCACCACUAGUCAUUCCCAAAAAUGAUCGCCACAUCGCACUGAGUCCAGGUACCAGAGCAGGAUGAUGUAUUCCCCUCCACGCACCGAUCCUGACAGAGAGGAUGAGCAGUGCUUCGCAAUUGGAGCUAACCUGCUUUCUUCACUAGAUCAUACUAUGAAGUUUGAUGAGCCUAUCGCCUUUCCAAUGAACAAUGUAGGCAUGCAAGAGAGGGUUCAGCUCUACAAUUCUACUGGAGAUGCUCAACUAAGUAGAAAUGCGAACACAGGGAAGUGUUCAAAGGGUGGCAAAAGGAAGAGUUCUGGAGGGAUCAAUUCAUCACUGCAUUCUCUAGUAAGGAAGCUAGAAGCUACCGUUGCUUUGUUUCACCGGCUGCACCAUACCUCACUCCCUCUGUUUCAUCCUACUGUACAUAUAAAUGUAUUACUGCAGGACGAAGCCAGGGCAUUGUUGCAGCGAGAAGUCAGCAUGGAGUGUGCUGAUGAGAACGCUGCUGGAGCCAAGAGAGAGGACUACGCGCAUGUCCGGGCAAAGCGAGGCCAAGCCACCAACAGCCACAGCCUUGCAGAAAGAUUUCGAAGGGAAAAGAUAAAUGUAAGGAUGAAGCUUCUUCAGGACCUUGUCCCGGGUUGCAACAAGAUUACAGGCAAGGCCAUGAUGCUUGACGAGAUCAUAAACUAUGUGCAAUCUCUGCAGCGUCAGGUUGAGUUCCUUUCGAUGAAGCUCUCAGCGAUCAGACCAGGGUUCAACCGUGACCUCGAACUGCAAGAUGUAAGAUUGCGAGAUCCUUUGCACACAAGAUGCCAGCUCCGGUUUUCUCGGAUACAGCCUGCGAGCGAGCGAUGUGCAUCUUAAUCUGUAUAUAGCAUCUGAAGAAUGUUUCUCGCACAGGAUCAUCCCUAAUCCUGCAAAUGUUCAUGUGACAAGAAACGGCCAGCAAUCUGCAUUUCCUCAGAGAGGAGUUAUCUGGAACGAGGAACUUCGCAGCAUCGCUCCAAAUGCUUUCGCUUCAGAUACCGUUGCUGGUUCAAUGGAAGUGGAGUGACGAGUCGGCAGUUUAAUGGUAAAUCUUGACAGGUUUAUGGCUAAAUGUGCCACACUUUGCCUAAAGUUAAGGCCUGUUUGGUUUGUGACUAAAUGUGCCACACUUUGACUAAGGUUAGUCGUUCGAAUUGAAUAACUAAACUUAGGCAGAAAAGUUAGGCAAAGCGUGGCAACUGAAGUAGUGAAUCAAACAUGUCAUUAGUCAUCCAAAUUGAAUAACUAACCUUAGGCAAAAAAGUUAGGCAAAGUGUGGCAAUUGAGGUAAGGAACCAAAUAUGCCCUAGUCUGUUGGGUUGCUACUGGUCAACUGGUGUGCCUUUGUAAGUUGCAUUGGUGGCGCGGAUGAGCUAGUCAACUUUGGUCUUUGGUGCCCACACACCAUGUACAGUUAUAAUAACUAAUCAAAGGAGCAGAGCACGGUGAUUUUUUUCUCUUCUUUUUUGGGCGAACUUAUGGACAAAAUAAUGUGCAAUGAUCGUCUGGAAUUUACUAA